UCUGGGACAAGCCCUGGAAACGGGGUCUAAUACCGGAUAACACUUCUGCCCGCAUGGGUGGGGGUUAAAAGCUCCGGCGGUGAAGGAUGAGCCCGCGGCCUAUCAGCUUGUUGGUGAGGUAGUGGCUCACCAAGGCGACGACGGGUAGCCGGCCUGAGAGGGCGACCGGCCACACUGGGACUGAGACACGGCCCAGACUCCUACGGGAGGCAGCAGUGGGGAAUAUUGCACAAUGGGCGAAAGCCUGAUGCAGCGACGCCGCGUGAGGGAUGACGGCCUUCGGGUUGUAAACCUCUUUCAGCAGGGAAGAAGCGAAAGUGACGGUACCUGCAGAAGAAGCGCCGGCUAACUACGUGCCAGCAGCCGCGGUAAUACGUAGGGCGCAAGCGUUGUCCGGAAUUAUUGGGCGUAAAGAGCUCGUAGGCGGCUUGUCACGUCGGGUGUGAAAGCCCGGGGCUUAACCCCGGGUCUGCAUUCGAUACGGGCUAGCUAGAGUGUGGUAGGGGAGAUCGGAAUUCCUGGUGUAGCGGUGAAAUGCGCAGAUAUCAGGAGGAACACCGGUGGCGAAGGCGGAUCUCUGGGCCAUUACUGACGCUGAGGAGCGAAAGCGUGGGGAGCGAACAGGAUUAGAUACCCUGGUAGUCCACGCCGUAAACGGUGGGAACUAGGUGUUGGCGACAUUCCACGUCGUCGGUGCCGCAGCUAACGCAUUAAGUUCCCCGCCUGG
rnacentral:rRNA from 1 species